CCAAGGCAAAGUAAAGUUCUACAUGACGGGUCUCAUGUAGAGACUGACCUUGGCGUUGUGAUGCAUGGCUCUGAUGCCCUGACUGUCCCAAUACCAAGGAUCUUUUUUGGUAAUCUCUGCAGCCUGUGUGGGAACUUUAUUACUAAUCCAGAAGAUGAUUUGUUGUUUCGGGCCAUUAGACACUGGCAAACCAGCAGUGGGCAUGAGUUUGUGGAUGUGCCUGUGAACACCUCUGGUUGCAAUGGAAGGUUUCCAACUUUUGUGUGAUUACCACCAAUGCUCCGAUCACAAAUCUGACUGCACAGAAAAUCCAAGUUGUCUGUAAAUGAAAUGCGAAGAGAGCUGCUUUUGUAGACCUGGGUUUUUCCACAGUGCUGCACAAUGUGGAGCAAGAUGAGUGUGGCUGCAUUUACUGUACAAAGGAUUGUGAUGGGGAAGAAUUUGACCCAACUGUUAUCCCACAAGGUCUAUGGAGUGAACAUGUUACUGGAGAUAGAGCUUUUUGGAAAAAUAAAGGGUGAUGGUGUUCUGAGGGGUCUUUAUGUUAAACCGAAUCACACAGCACUACUGCAUUCUAGCUCACUGACUAGUGUUGUUACAGACCCUGGGGACGUUGUCACCUUAUGAAGG